UACAGAGGGGGCAAGCGUUGUUCGGAAUUACUGGGCGUAAAGGGCGCGUAGGCGGCCUGUUAAGUCGAACGUGAAAUCCCCGGGCUCAACCCGGGAACUGCGUCCGAUACUGGAGGGCUUGAGUGCGGGAGAGGGAUGUGGAAUUCCAGGUGUAGCGGUGAAAUGCGUAGAUAUCUGGAGGAACACCGGUGGCGAAGGCAGGUCUCUGGGCAUUAACUGACGCUGAGGAGCGAAAGCAUGGGGAGCGAACAGG
rnacentral:rRNA from 1 species